CGCUGGGGGGACGUUCCCGGAGGCUGCUCCCUGCCGUGAUCCACUGGUUUGGCCCUCUGUCACAAGAGGUUGCCUUUGAGAUCCCCCCGCCCCCGGCCUUGGCGAGUCGGGAUGUGCCCUCCGCCGAGGGCAGGACCAAGCUCUGUCUGGUGCACCAAGGAGUGACCCAAGGAGCAUGCACGUAGUUUCUGGGAAGAGGGUCGGGUAGGCUGGGCUUGGGGAAGUCCGUGGGUUCCUUAUUCACUGGGGGUCGGCCUCACUCUGAUCUCAGAGCAGGUCUGUCCCCUUCUGAGUGACCCAGCAGAGGGGCUUGGAAGGUUCCAGCCCCAACCCUGGAGGGUCAGUGGCAGUGUUGGGCAGCUUGGUCUGCCUGGGGCUCAGCCCACCGGGUACUCGAGGCGGGAGGGGGAUGGUCUAGGCCCCACACCUGCUCUGCCCGUGAGGGCUGCUGGCCUUGCUUUGUGGACCAGUGAGGCUGGGAGCGGUCAAGAGCAUGGCUGAGGUCACUCAGGGGGUGUCUGGGCCUUGCUCAGUGGGCGGCAGACCCCCUGCGCUAGGCGUCCAUCCUUGCAGCUGGACAACCCCCUCCCCGACCCAGGGAUGAAGAAAUGGCGAUGUUUGGGGUGAGGCGAGUGGUUUACUUUAGUAAAUGAGCUCCAUGGUUGGACCCCACGUGGAGUCGGAGUGUCUGGCCGGUGAGUGAGGUCUCAUGCUGCAAGAGGUGCCUGGUGUCCCCUUUGUGCUGGGGACACUGCAGCGGACGGACGCACGGAAUGACUGCAGUCCACAUCCCCCGCCCUCAACCCCGAGCUAUGUCGAGGGUGAGGCAGACAGUCAACAGACGCUGCGGUCAGUGCAGCUGGUGGGGACACGGAGCCCCUCCUAGGAGCCCUGCUCGUGGGCAGAGCAUGUGUAGGUGGGCAGGGGCUGUGUGUGUGGGCAAUGGGUCUGGACUCGGGGCUGCGGAGGAAGGCGUGGAGCCUGGGGAGACGGGAGAUGUUGUUCUCGGCCAAGCCAUGCGCUGGACAAAGGUGGAGUUUCCAUGCUUGGGGCCGUGGCUCGAAUGGGGCCAGCAGCAGUGGGCAGAGAGUGUGCUGGAGGGGUGCAGACCUGCAGGGGCAUCCUGGGAGGGCGUGGUCUGGCUCCAAGCAGGGUGGUUUGGGAGGACGUUCUCCUUUCCCGAGGUGCCUGUGACAGCGGCGUGGUCGGCAGAACCCCUGGAGCCCCCCUCUCCCACAGCCAUGCCGGGUGAUCCUGGGGACAGCCUCUCGCAGGCGCCGAUGGCCGGCUGUUCUCACGAGGAAGCAGGCCGAGGGUGGGCCGCGAGGUUAGGGUGGAGCCUGGCCUGUCCCCAAGGAAGCCUGGGCGUCACCACCGCUGUCCUUACUCCCAGGGUCCCGUGGUGGAGCGGCCCUGUCCUGG
ensembl:lncRNA